rnacentral:rRNA from 1 species
GACGAACGCUGGCGGCGUGCUUAACACAUGCAAGUCGAACGCUGAAGGCCUGGCUUUUGUUGGGUUGGAUGAGUGGCGAACGGGUGAGUAACACGUGAGUAACCUGCCCUCUUCUUUGGGAUAACGCCCGGAAACGGGCGCUAAUACUGGAUAUUCACUGAUCUCCGCAUGGGGGUUGGUGGAAAGGGUUGGUCUGGUGGGGGAUGGGCUCGCGGCCUAUCGGCUUGUGGGUGGGGGGAUGGCCUAGCAUGGCUUUGACGGGUGGCUGGGCGGGGGGGGUGGCCGGUCACAUUGGCACUGAGCUACGGCCCUGACUCCUGCGGCAGGCAGCAGUGGGGGAUAUUGCACGAUAGGCUAACGCCUGAGGCGGCGGCGCGGCGUGGGGGAUGGGCGCCUUCGGGGUGUACACCUCGUUCGCUCACGGUCUUGCCGCAACAGUGGGUUGUGGUGACGGUAGUGGGUAAAGAAGCGCCGGCUAACUACGUG